rnacentral:rRNA from 1 species
UACGGGGGGGGGCAAGCGUUGUUCGGAAUUACUGGGCGUAAAGGGCUGGUAGGCGGCCAACUAAGUCCGACGUGAAAUCCCAAGGCUUAACCUUGGAACUGCGUCGGAUACUGGAUGGCUUGAAUUCGGGAGAGGGAUGCGGAAUUCCAGGUGUAGCGGUGAAAUGCGUAGAUAUCUGGAGGAACACCGGUGGCGAAGGCGGCAUCCUGGACCGAGAUUGACGCUGAACAGCGAAAGCUAGGGGAGCAAACGGG